CCAGACUCCUACGGGAGGCAGCAGUGGGGGAUAUUGCACAAUGGAGGGAACUCUGAUGCAGCGACGCCGCGUGAGGGAAGACGGUCUUCGGAUUGUAAACCUCUGUCUUUGGGGAAGAAAAUGACGGUACCCAAAGAGGAAGCUCCGGCUAACUACGUGCCAGCAGCCGCGGUAAUACGUAGGGGGCAAGCGUUAUCCGGAAUUACUGGGUGUAAAGGGAGCGCAGACGGCAGUGCAAGUCUGGAGUGAAAGCCCGUGGCUUAACUACGGGACUGCUCUGGAAACUGUGCAGCUAGAGUGCAGGAGAGGCAGGCGGAAUUCCUAGUGUAGCGGUGAAAUGCGUAGAUAUUAGGAGGAACACCGGUGGCGAAGGCGGCCUGCUGGACUGUAACUGACGUUGAGGCCCGAAAGCGUGGGGAGCAAACAGGAUUAGAUACCCCGGUACC
rnacentral:rRNA from 1 species